rnacentral:rRNA from 1 species
GACAGAGGGUGCAAACGUUGCUCGGAAUCACUGGGCGUAAAGGGCGCGUAGGCGGGAAUGUAAGUCGGGCGUGAAAUCCCCAGGCUCAACCUGGGAACUGCACUCGGAACUGCGUUUCUUGAGUAUCGGAGAGGAAAGCGGAAUUCCUGGUGUAGAGGUGAAAUUCGUAGAUAUCAGGAGGAACACCAGUGGCGAAGGCGGCUUUCUGGACGGUAACUGACGCUGAGGAGCGAAAGCGUGGGGAGCGAACAGG